UAAUAAUAAUUUUACGAGCUCAUAAGCUUUAUGAAUAUUUUAUGUUUAAAUUUUGUUUUGUGUAGGAAACAUAAAGAUGCAAUAAGGAAGAAAAAAUUUUAACAAAUAAUAUUUGCGCAUUCUUUGAUCAAAAAGUAAAAAAUAAAUUAAAUAACAAAAGCACCUCUGAAAUAUAUAUUUCAAAGAAUGAACGUAAACGAAAAAUAUUUACCUCGAAUUUGGAGUGUACAUGAGAUCCCUCGAUGCGUCUACCAACGUGAUCGAUCAUCAUAAAAACUGGUUCCCAUACGACGUGACUCCUUUCUUCUUUUAAAAAGAGAGUCAUAUUUAAAGCAA